GACGUAGGGGGCAAGCGUUGUCCGGAUUUAUUGGGCGUAAAGAGCGUGUAGGCGGCCGAGCAGGUCCGUUGUGAAAACUCGAGGCUCAACCUCGAGACGUCGAUGGAAACCGCACGGCUAGAGUCCGGAAGAGGAGAGUGGAAUUCCUGGUGUAGCGGUGAAAUGCGCAGAUAUCAGGAAGAACACCCGUGGCGAAGGCGGCUCUCUGGGACGGUACUGACGCUGAGACGCGAAAGCGUGGGGAGCGAACAGG
rnacentral:rRNA from 1 species